rnacentral:lncRNA from 1 species
CUGAUCUCGGAUGGCUGGCUUCAACCCACCAAUGUACCUUGCCACUUGCUGAUUUUCUGUUUCUGACAAGUUGUUGCGGGCAUUGAGGCGGUUGAAUUCAUCAGUGUAUUCGGUCACCGUCCGGGGGCCCUGUCGGCAGUUCUGGUACUGAUGGUAGAGUGCCUGCUCGUAGUCAGGCGGGAGAAAACGGCCACGCAAAUGUU